CUUUAUGGUGCAGAUUGGGAGAAAAGACUUGAGGCAAAGGAAUUACGGACAAACUUUAUGCACUUGAGCCAUUUGAGCAAGUGGGUAUUCUUCAUAUGUUCUUCUUCCACACCAAUGGUUCUUUAGCUUAUGGUUUUCCCCUGGUGGUGGGUUUUACAAAAUCUUUUGCUCUAAGAAAUAGAUCAAAUUUUGUAUUUAGGGGAGCUAUCAGGCUAUCACUUCUCUAGAAAUUUAAAUCCCUUCACUCUUAACUCUAUUUUCUGGGGUUAAAUAAAUAGUCAAAGCAAUAUUUGACUAUUUGAGACUAUAUUGUAUUCAUACUAUAAUUUAUUACUCUGAUUUUUUUUUAUUUUUUU